GCUUGUCUCAAAGAUUAAGCCAUGCAUGUUCAAGUAUAGCAAGUGUACAGUGAAACUGCGAAUGGCUCAUUAAAUCAGUUAUAAUUUAUUUGAUAGUGAAAUUGUACAUGGAUAACCGUGGUAAUUCUAGAGCUAAUACAUGCGUCAAGACCUGACUUUUCGGAAGGGUUGUGUUUAUUAGAUAAAAAGCCAAUCCAUGCUCUGCAUGGUAUUGUGGUGACUCAUAAUAACCGAUCGAAUCGCAUGGCGUAAGCCGGCGAUAAAUCAUUCAAGUUUCUGACCUAUCAGCUUCCGACGGUAGGGUAUUGGCCUACCGUGGCUAUGACGGGUAACGGGGAAUUAGGGUUCGAUUCCGGAGAGGGAGCCUGAGAAACGGCUACCACAUCUAAGGAAGGCAGCAGG
rnacentral:rRNA from 1 species